UACGUAGGGUGCGAGCGUUGUCCGGAAUUAUUGGGCGUAAAGAGCUCGUAGGCGGCUUGUCACGUCGGAUGUGAAAACCCGGGGCUCAACCCCGGGCCUGCAUUCGAUACGGGCAGGCUAGAGUUCGGCAGGGGAGACUGGAAUUCCUGUGUAGCGGUGAAAUGCGCAGAUAUCAGGAGGAACACCGGUGGCGAAGGCGGGUCUCUGGGCCGAUACUGACGCUGAGGAGCGAAAGCAUGGGUAGCAAACAGG
rnacentral:rRNA from 1 species